rnacentral:rRNA from 1 species
CACGUAGGGGGCAAGCGUUGUCCGGAUUUAUUGGGCGUAAAGAGCUCGUAGGCGGUUCGGUAAGUCGGGUGUGAAACCUCCAGGCUCAACCUGGAGACGCCACCCGAUACUGCUGUGACUAGAGUCCGGUAGGGGAGCGUGGAAUUCCUGGUGUAGCGGUGGAAUGCGCAGAUAUCAGGAGGAACACCGAUGGCGAAGGCAGAUCUCUGGGCCGUAACUGACGCUGAGGAGCGAAAGCGUGGGGAGCGAACAGG